rnacentral:rRNA from 1 species
GUGAAUCAUCGAGUCUUUGAACGCAAAUUGCACUCUGUUUCUGCAGAGUAUGCCUGUUUGAGAAUCUAUAGUAUUCUACUCCUCUUUUGGAGUGAUUUGACCAUUGCUUCACUUGAAAGCUCGGUUUAAAAACUAUAGAUUGCAGUACCUAAAGUGUACAAAAAUGCUCUAGCAAUGAAGGGUUCGCCCAACUUGGCUUUUGCAAAUUGCUUCACGAUAGGUGGACUUUUCGAGUCGAGCUGCAACACCCAAACCAAAAUUUUGAACCUUGGUCUCAAAUCAGGCAGGAAGACCCGCUGAACUUAAGCAUAUCAAUAAGCGGAGG